GAUGAACGCUGGCGGCGUGCCUAAUACAUGCAAGUCGAGCGAACAGACGAGGAGCUUGCUCCUCUGACGUUAGCGGCGGACGGGUGAGUAACACGUGGAUAACCUACCUAUAAGACUGGGAUAACUUCGGGAAACCGGAGCUAAUACCGGAUAAUAUAUUGAACCGCAUGGUUCAAUAGUGAAAGACGGUUUUGCUGUCACUUAUAGAUGGAUCCGCGCCGCAUUAGCUAGUUGGUAAGGUAACGGCUUACCAAGGCAACGAUGCGUAGCCGACCUGAGAGGGUGAUCGGCCACACUGGAACUGAGACACGGUCCAGACUCCUACGGGAGGCAGCAGUAGGGAAUCUUCCGCAAUGGGCGAAAGCCUGACGGAGCAACGCCGCGUGAGUGAUGAAGGUCUUCGGAUCGUAAAACUCCGUUAUUAGGGAAGAACAAAUGUGUAAGUAACGAUGCACGUCUUGACGGUACCUAAUCAGAAAGCCACGGCUAACUACGU
rnacentral:rRNA from 1 species